UGGAAUAUAGCUCAGUGGUAGAGUGUUUACCUUGAAUUCAUGAAGCCCUGCCUGGGUUCAAUCCCUAGUACUGCAA
rnacentral:tRNA from 1 species